CCUGAGAGGGUGUGUUUCACCCUGGCAGGAUCAAAGAGAAGUUCCCCCAUGCCUUCGACGACGUCUGCCUCUACUCGGAGAUCUCCAACCUGAUGGCUCACCACACCUUCGGCCUGCACGCCCGGCGCUUCAUCCAGGAGCUCUUCCAAGAUGUCUCCUUCCUGCCUCUUUAUGAAGAGGCAGAGAGCGUCCUUUCUACAAGAGAGAACUCAAGCUGACCCAACAUCCUCGGGCCACACCGAACUUUCACUUCCCAUUCAUCAUGACCGUAUCUUUGUACAGUCAAGGGGGAGACUGUAACUAGAUCAAACCAAAUAAGACCACCAAGCCUGUUGUUAAUCUGCCAGUACCUACUGCUAUGUCUAGGGCUGUUGAGCAACCUAUGAGUUGAUAAUAAGUAUGAUAAAACACUAAUACACAUUUCUGUUACCCUAGCUUGUUAUUUACCAAAGUGUUGCAAAGGAUGAAAGUGCAUAUUAAAGAUGACAUACAUUU